GAUGAACGCUGGCGGCGUGCCUAAUACAUGCAAGUCGAGCGAACAGACGAGGAGCUUGCUCCUCUGACGUUAGCGGCGGACGGGUGAGUAACACGUGGAUAACCUACCUAUAAGACUAGGAUAACUUCGGGAAACCGGAGCUAAUACCGGAUAAUAUAUUGAACCGCAUGGUUCAAUAGUGAAAGACGGUUUUGCUGUCACUUAUAGAUGGAUCCGCGCCGCAUUAGCUAGUUGGUAAGGUAACGGCUUACCAAGGCAACGAUGCGUAGCCGACCUGAGAGGGUGAUCGGCCACACUGGAACUGAGACACGGUCCAGACUCCUACGGGAGGCAGCAGUAGGGAAUCUUCCGCAAUGGGCGAAAGCCUGACGGAGCAACGCCGCGUGAGUGAUGAAGGUCUUCGGAUCGUAAAACUCUGCUAUUAGGGAAGAACAAAUGUGUAAGUAACUAUGCACGUCUUGACGGUACCUAAUCAGAAAGCCACGGCUAACUACGUG
rnacentral:rRNA from 1 species